AACGUCGACCCCUUAUCGGGGUUGCGGACAGUGCCUGGUGGGUAGUUUGACUGGGGCGGUCUCCUCCCAAAGAGUAACGGAGGAGCACGAAGGUGGGCUAAUCACGGUUGGACAUCGUGAGGUUAGUGCAAUGGCAUAAGCCCGCUUGACUGCGAGAAUGACAAUUCGAGCAGGUGCGAAAGCAGGUCAUAGUGAUCCGGUGGUUCUGAAUGGAAGGGCCAUCGCUCAACGGAUAAAAGGUACUCCGGGGAUAACAGGCUGAUACCGCCCAAGAGUUCAUAUCGACGGCGG
rnacentral:rRNA from 1 species